GCCUGGAGGAACAUGGUCCAUGGGGUUGUAAUGGGUCGGACACGACUUCGCAACUAGCAACAAGAACUAGGCAAAGAACUAGACUUUUCGUGAUGAGGAGUGGACGCCAGACCCUGCCGCUGUCCCUCGCUGCUAGUUCAGUCAAAUGGAGGCGGCAACAUACUCACAAGGAAGAAAACCUCCACCGUCUUGAAGCCUACUUCCCUUUCCACUGACAUUUCUACAAAGGUCAUUCAAUCUCCUCCACUCCGACUAACAUUCCCUCCUCCCCCCCCCCAAUAACUAAAUAAAGACGUUGGAACGGAGGAUUUUGAAGGACUUAGAGAAAUACGUUUCAAGAAAGGUCACCGAUAUUGGACUUACGUGUGAAGGGAGUGGAGGACGGGAUUGAGCAGGAGAGGGAACAAAAAAAAAACCCACAAAAAAAAAAAAAAAGAAGAGAAGACCACGUCAAGGUUGUCCCUUUUGCAAAAUGACUCCGUUCCCAGGAAGCGGAAACAGCGUUCAAACCCAGUCAACUUAUCAUCAGCAGAACGGUUAUCAAGGGUUUAUCGCAUUUCAAACGCUUAUCUAAACCAAACAAUCCGUAGAAUGGUGGCUGAUAAGGCUGGACUGACAAGGUAACUUGGAAUCCUGAAAAAGACACAACUGUGUUUCAGGAGAAACGCAGAGGUCUCCAGCACUCUUCAAAUCAUUUUUUCGACACAUAUAAAACAACAACAACAACAACCAGGAGGCACGCUAGGCAAAUGAACCACUUCCACACACCUGCCUCCAUAGAAUUCUGAGGAUCCGGUGGCAGGACAAGGUGCCAGGCUUUCUUCUCCAGAGCAGGCCUGCCAUCAGUUCAAAUCCUGCUGAGGGAAGCCCAGACACGCUGGGCAGGCCAUGCUGUAGGACGCCAGACCACCGCAUUCCCCAAAAGGCUCCUCUACGGUGAGCUGCCUCAAGGGAAGCCAUCGCACGGGGGACAAAGGAAGCGAUACAAAGACACAUUGAAAGCCUCCUUCAAGUCCUGGAUAUCGACACCUCCUCCUGGGAAAUCUUGGCACACGAUCGACUGACAUGGCACACGCUGAUCCACCAAGGCUGCCAGGCAUCUGAGGACAGGAGGAGCACAAGAGAAGCAAGCACUCCCCAAAGCCAGAGCUGCAAAGGCUGCAACAGUGGUGCCCACACAGGUUCUGCCCGACAUGUGGCUGAACAUUACGUGCCCAAAUAGGCCUUAUCAGCCACCUGAGGACACACCGUGGAAGAUCUACUUCGAACACAAUAGACGGACAUCAAAUCAUUUUUGACACGUGUACUAUCACCCGUCACACAUUUUACAACUUAGAGGAAAACCAACAACCUGACAAUCCUUUGAAAACAACCUCCUACUUGGCACUUCUUGUUCAGUGCACCCGAUCUACUAGCUAUAAAUCGUCAUUCCGAAUGUUUUAUAGGGGGCCAUAAACCACUUUUUAUAGCUCGGUGUUUGCAUCCUGAGACCCAACUAAUGUGCAAGGCCAACUAUCACAUAGAAGGCUUAGCCAAGAGGAGGGAAAAAAAAUACAGUUACUACACACCUUGCUACCAGUUGCCCUGACUAUUUCAUGUCUAAAGCUUGUGGUAUGCAACGACAGGAGAUCCUAGAUUACUAUGUAGUUUAUUGUAAACUUUGAAGAUGGAGCAGAGAAUCUUUUUUUUGGGGGGGUGGUGGUGGAAGGGUGACAGAUGCUGGAUCUCCAAGUGGUAAACUGAUAGGAGAUGGAAGUGAAGCUGAAGUUGGCCACCUCUUUCCUUUCUUCUCUGCACCAAUGUAAUCUUGUAUGUAUGUAUGUAUGUAUGUUCCAGCAUAACUCUGCAGUGCCUCGAGCAAUUCCAACCAAACCAAACACAGAUGACUUACUCUCUGGAAACAAACACUGUGGGGUUAAGACACCUCUAAAAUCCCUCGGGGUGUGUGUGCUGUUAAGAUACAGCCUGUUGUGCCUUAAAAUGGCUUCUACUGUAC